rnacentral:rRNA from 1 species
UACAGAGGGUGCGAGCGUUAAUCGGAAUGAUUGGGCGUAAAGCGUCCGCAGGUGGCAGUUCAAGUCUGCUGUCAAAGACCGGGGCUUAACUUCGGAAAGGCAGUGGAAACUGAACAGCUAGAGUAUGGUAGGGGCAGAGGGAAUUCCUGGUGUAGCGGUGAAAUGCGUAGAGAUCAGGAAGAACAUCGGUGGCGAAGGCGCUCUGCUGGACCAUAACUGACACUCAGGGACGAAAGCUAGGGGAGCGAAUGGG